rnacentral:rRNA from 1 species
GCACUGGAGAGUUUGAUCCUGGCUCAGAUUGAACGCUGGCGGCAGGCCUAACACAUGCAAGUCGAGCGGUAGAGAGAAGCUUGCUUCUCUUGAGAGCGGCGGACGGGUGAGUAAUGCCUAGGAAUCUGCCUGGUAGUGGGGGAUAACGUUCGGAAACGGACGCUAAUACCGCAUACGUCCUACGGGAGAAAGCAGGGGACCUUCGGGCCUUGCGCUAUCAGAUGAGCCUAGGCCGGAUUAGCUAGUUGGUGAGGUAAUGGCUCACCAAGGCGACGAUCCGUAACUGGUCUGAGAGGAUGAUCAGUCACACUGGAACUGAGACACGGUCCAGACUCCUACGGGAGGCAGCAGUGGGGAAUAUUGGACAAUGGGCGAAAGCCUGAUCCAGCCAUGCCGCGUGUGUGAAGAAGGUCUUCGGAUUGUAAAGCACUUUAAGUUGGGAGGAAGGGCAGUUACCUAAUACGUGAUUGUUUUGACGUUACCGACAGAAUAAGCACCGGCUAACUCUGUGCCAGCAGCCGCGGUAAUACAGAGGGUGCAAGCGUUAAUCGGAAUUACUGGGCGUAAAGCGCGCGUAGGUGGUUAGUUAAGUUGGAUGUGAAAUCCCCGGGCUCAACCUGGGAACUGCAUUCAAAACUGACUGACUAGAGUAUGGUAGAGGGUGGUGGAAUUUCCUGUGUAGCGGUGAAAUGCGUAGAUAUAGGAAGGAACACCAGUGGCGAAGGCGACCACCUGGACUGAUACUGACACUGAGGUGCGAAAGCGUGGGGAGCAAACAGGAUUAGAUACCCUGGUAGUCCACGCCGUAAACGAUGUCAACUAGCCGUUGGGAGCCUUGAGCUCUUAGUGGCGCAGCUAACGCAUUAAGUUGACCGCCUGGGGAGUACGGCCGCAAGGUUAAAACUCAAAUGAAUUGACGGGGGCCCGCACAAGCGGUGGAGCAUGUGGUUUAAUUCGAUGCAACGCGAAAAACCUUACCCACCUUUGACAUGUACGGAAUCCUUUAGAGAUAGAGGAGUGCUCGAAAGAGAACCGUAACACAGGUGCUGCAUGGCUGUCGUCAGCUCGUGUCGUGAGAUGUUGGGUUAAGUCCCGCAACGAGCGCAACCCUUGCCAUUAGUUGCUACAUUUAGUUGGGCACUCUAAUGAGACUGCCGGUGACAAACCGGAGGAAGGUGGGGAUGACGUCAAGUCCUCAUGGCCCUUAUAGGUGGGGCUACACACGUCAUACAAUGGCCGGUACAAAGGGUCGCAAACCCGCGAGGGGGAGCCAAUCCAUCAAAGCCGGUCGUAGUCCGGAUCGCAGUCUGCAACUCGACUGCGUGAAGUCGGAAUCGCUAGUAAUCGUGGAUCAGCAUGUCACGGUGAAUACGUUCCCGGGUCUUGUACACACCGCCCGUCACACCAUGGGAGCGGGUCUCGCCAGAAGUAGUUAGCCUAACCGCAAAGAGGGCGAUUACCACGGCGGGGUUCGUGACUGGGGUGAAGACGUAACAAGGUAACCGCUCAAG